ensembl:lncRNA
CACACUAAGGGCCGAUGGAGAACACACUAAGGGCCAAUGCCACUAACUAAGAGGAGAACAGGAUGAGGAAGAGGAGGAGGAGGAGGGUGGGGCUUUCAGCAUGUGGAGUGAUGAGGUCAUGGCGAAGCCUAACAGCAGCCGCUCCUUCCUGGCUGACUACAUGGCAGAGGUGCAUGAUGGGAUGGCGGCGGCGGAGAGAGCAGCGAGCGAGAGAGCGAGGAAGCAGGGCGGAGGAGAGAGCAGCGAGCGAGAGAGCGAGAGAGCGAGGGAGCAGGGCGGAGGAGAGAGCAGGGCGGAGCCAGAAAGGGGGCGUACCGUACCUAGUUCCUGCUGGAUGCUGUCGGGGAGCCCUGAGAUAGUCUUUCUCCGCUUGACCUUUUUGGGCCGCCGGGCCACCGUAUCACAGUUAGCCAGAGCGCGCCGCACGCUAGCCUGGCGGUCAAACGUCUCCCCUGGAGCAGGCAGGCAGGCGCACACACACACACACACACACACACACACACACACACACACACACACAGAGGGCCGCUGGUUAGUCACAGCACAGCCAUGCACGUCACAUGCACAGCGCAGGCAGAAACAAUCACACUCAGAGAGCAAAGACAGAUUGCGAUCACAGAGUGAAGACAGACUGAUCGCAGGGUGGAGACGAUCACAGAGUGACAACAGACUGAUCGCAGGGUGGAGACGAUCACAGAGUGACAGAUCACAGACUGAUCGCAGGGUGGAGACGAUCACAGCUGAUCACUAAGUGAGAUCUAAGACAGAAGCAAUCGCACACAGAAAAGACAGAUGGCAGGUCUCACGUUGGCGGCGCUCUCGUGUCAGAGUCGGUCAGAACUGGUGCACACUGAUGAUGUCAGCUAAACUGUUGCACACUGAUGAUGUCAGCUAAACUGGUGCACACUGAUGAUGUCAGCAAAACUGGUGCACACUGAUGAUGUCAGCUAAACUGGUGCACACUGAUGAUGUCAGCUAAACUGGUGGACACUGAUGAUGUCAGCUAAACUGGUGCACAGUGAUGAUGUCAGCUAAACUGGUGCACACUGAUGAUGUCAGCUAAACUGGUGCACACUGAUGAUGUCAGCUAAACUGGUGGACACAGGAGCCAAUAAUGCCAGAGCCCCCGAUAGUAGGGCAGCACUAUGGGAGAGACCCUUAUGACUGACAGGUUUAUAACUGUGGCCCUCAUGACUUACAGGUUUAUAACUGUGGCCCUCAGGGUUUAUAACUGUGGCCCUCAUGACUGACAGGUUUAUAACUGUGGCCCUUAUGACUGACAGGUUUAUAACCUGCCUGCCCUCAUGCACUUGUCUAGUAUACAGAAAAAAAGAAACUAAAUGCAACGUUAUUGAUCUUUGUUUGGUUGAUGAGUUUGAAAGGGGACCUUAUCGGCGGCAGACGUGCCACGUGACGGCUGCUCGGGAAAACAGCAGUGUAACCGGGGGUGACGGCAGCAGUGUAACCAGGGGUGACGGCAGCAGUGUAACCGGGGGUGACGGCAGCUACAGGAGCGAGGUACUGAUCCAAAGCUGGGUCUGAUCCAAAGCUGGUUCUGACAGACUAAGCCAGAGAGACCCACGAGUCUGACUCGUUCUCAGCAGGAGCCGACACGCACGAGAUUACUGAGUCAGAGUGCAAAACACACAC